UUAAGCGACUAAGCGUACACGGUGGAUGCCCUGGCAGUCAGAGGCGAUGAAGGACGUGCUAAUCUGCGAUAAGCGUCGGUAAGGUGAUAUGAACCGUUAUAACCGGCGAUUUCCGAAUGGGGAAACCCAGUGUGAUUCGUCACACUAUCAUUAACUGAAUCCAUAGGUUAAUGAGGCGAACCGGGGGAACUGAAACAUCUAAGUACCCCGAGGAAAAGAAAUCAACCGAGAUUCCCCCAGUAGCGGCGAGCGAACGGGGAGCAGCCCAGAGCCUGAAUCAGUGUGUGUGUUAGUGGAAGCGUCUGGAAAGGCGCGCGAUACAGGGUGACAGCCCCGUACACAAAAAUGCACAUACUGUGAGCUCGAUGAGUAGGGCGGGACACGUGGUAUCCUGUCUGAAUAUGGGGGGACCAUCCUCCAAGGCUAAAUACUCCUGACUGACCGAUAGUGAACCAGUACCGUGAGGGAAAGGCGAAAAGAACCCCGGCGAGGGGAGUGAAAAAGAACCUGAAACCGUGUACGUACAAGCAGUGGGAGCCUCUUAAUGGGGUGACUGCGUACCUUUUGUAUAAUGGGUCAGCGACUUAUAUUCUGUAGCAAGGUUAACCGAAUAGGGGAGCCGAAGGGAAACCGAGUCUUAACUGGGCGUUAAGUUGCAGGGUAUAGACCCGAAACCCGGUGAUCUAGCCAUGGGCAGGUUGAAGGUUGGGUAACACUAACUGGAGGACCGAACCGACUAAUGUUGAAAAAUUAGCGGAUGACUUGUGGCUGGGGGUGAAAGGCCAAUCAAACCGGGAGAUAGCUGGUUCUCCCCGAAAGCUAUUUAGGUAGCGCCUCGUGAAUUCAUCUCCGGGGGUAGAGCACUGUUUCGGCAAGGGGGUCAUCCCGACUUACCAACCCGAUGCAAACUGCGAAUACCGGAGAAUGUUAUCACGGGAGACACACGGCGGGUGCUAACGUCCGUCGUGAAGAGGGAAACAACCCAGACCGCCAGCUAAGGUCCCAAAGUCAUGGUUAAGUGGGAAACGAUGUGGGAAGGCCCAGACAGCCAGGAUGUUGGCUUAGAAGCAGCCAUCAUUUAAAGAAAGCGUAAUAGCUCACUGGUCGAGUCGGCCUGCGCGGAAGAUGUAACGGGGCUAAACCAUGCACCGAAGCUGCGGCAGCGACGCUUAUGCGUUGUUGGGUAGGGGAGCGUUCUGUAAGCCUGCGAAGGUGUGCUGUGAGGCAUGCUGGAGGUAUCAGAAGUGCGAAUGCUGACAUAAGUAACGAUAAAGCGGGUGAAAAGCCCGCUCGCCGGAAGACCAAGGGUUCCUGUCCAACGUUAAUCGGGGCAGGGUGAGUCGACCCCUAAGGCGAGGCCGAAAGGCGUAGUCGAUGGGAAACAGGUUAAUAUUCCUGUACUUGGUGUUACUGCGAAGGGGGGACGGAGAAGGCUAUGUUGGCCGGGCGACGGUUGUCCCGGUUUAAGCGUGUAGGCUGGUUUUCCAGGCAAAUCCGGAAAAUCAAGGCUGAGGCGUGAUGACGAGGCACUACGGUGCUGAAGCAACAAAUGCCCUGCUUCCAGGAAAAGCCUCUAAGCAUCAGGUAACAUCAAAUCGUACCCCAAACCGACACAGGUGGUCAGGUAGAGAAUACCAAGGCGCUUGAGAGAACUCGGGUGAAGGAACUAGGCAAAAUGGUGCCGUAACUUCGGGAGAAGGCACGCUGAUAUGUAGGUGAAGUCCCUUGCGGAUGGAGCUGAAAUCAGUCGAAGAUACCAGCUGGCUGCAACUGUUUAUUAAAAACACAGCACUGUGCAAACACGAAAGUGGACGUAUACGGUGUGACGCCUGCCCGGUGCCGGAAGGUUAAUUGAUGGGGUUAGCGGUAACGCGAAGCUCUUGAUCGAAGCCCCGGUAAACGGCGGCCGUAACUAUAACGGUCCUAAGGUAGCGAAAUUCCUUGUCGGGUAAGUUCCGACCUGCACGAAUGGCGUAAUGAUGGCUAGGCUGUCUCCACCCGAGACUCAGUGAAAUUGAACUCGCUGUGAAGAUGCAGUGUACCCGCGGCAAGACGGAAAGACCCCGUGAACCUUUACUAUAGCUUGACACUGAACAUUGAGCCUUGAUGUGUAGGAUAGGUGGGAGGCUUUGAAGUGUGGACGCCAGUCUGCAUGGAGCCGACCUUGAAAUACCACCCUUUAAUGUUUGAUGUUCUAACGUUGGCCCCUAAUCGGGGUUGCGGACAGUGUCUGGUGGGUAGUUUGACUGGGGCGGUCUCCUCCUAAAGAGUAACGGAGGAGCACGAAGGUUGGCUAAUCCUGGUCGGACAUCAGGAGGUUAGUGCAAUGGCAUAAGCCAGCUUGACUGCGAGCGUGACGGCGCGAGCAGGUGCGAAAGCAGGUCAUAGUGAUCCGGUGGUUCUGAAUGGAAGGGCCAUCGCUCAACGGAUAAAAGGUACUCCGGGGAUAACAGGCUGAUACCGCCCAAGAGUUCAUAUCGACGGCGGUGUUUGGCACCUCGAUGUCGGCUCAUCACAUCCUGGGGCUGAAGUAGGUCCCAAGGGUAUGGCUGUUCGCCAUUUAAAGUGGUACGCGAGCUGGGUUUAGAACGUCGUGAGACAGUUCGGUCCCUAUCUGCCGUGGGCGCUGGAGAACUGAGGGGGGCUGCUCCUAGUACGAGAGGACCGGAGUGGACGCAUCACUGGUGUUCGGGUUGUCAUGCCAAUGGCACUGCCCGGUAGCUAAAUGCGGAAGAGAUAAGUGCUGAAAGCAUCUAAGCACGAAACUUGCCCCGAGAUGAGUUCUCCCUGACUCCCUGAGAGUCCUGAAGGAACGUUGAAGACGACGACGUUGAUAGGCCGGGUGUGUAAGCGCAGCGAUGCGUUGAGCUAACCGGUACUAAUGAACCGUGAGGCUUAACCUU
rnacentral:rRNA from 2 species